rnacentral:rRNA from 1 species
GUGCCAGCAGCCGCGGUAAUACCGGCAGCCCAAGUGAUGGCCGAUCUUAUUGGGCCUAAAGCGUCCGUAGCUGGCUGCGCAAGUCCGUCGGGAAAUCCACUCGCUCAACGAGUGGGCGUCCGACGGAAACUGCACAGCUUGGGACCGGAAGGCUCGAAGGGUACGUUCGGGGUAGGAGUGAAAUCCCAUAAUCCCGCACGGACCACCGAUGGCGAAAGCACUUCGAGAAAACGGAUCCGACAGUGAGGGACGGAAGCCAGGGUCACCAACCGGAAUAGAAACCCUGGAGU